UACAGAGGUCCCAAGCGUUGUUCGGAUUCACUGGGCGUAAAGGGCGCGUAGGCGGACUCUUAAGUCGGGGGUGAAAGCCCAGGGCUCAACCCUGGAAUUGCCUUCGAUACUGAGAGUCUUGAGUUCGGAAGAGGUUGGUGGAACUGCGAGUGUAGAGGUGAAAUUCGUAGAUAUUCGCAAGAACACCAGUGGCGAAGGCGGCCAACUGGUCCGAUACUGACGCUGAGGCGGCGAAAGCGUGGGGAGCAAACAGG
rnacentral:rRNA from 1 species